GAAAUGCGAUAAGUAAUGCGAAUUGCAGAAUUCCAGUGAGUCAUCGAAUCUUUGAACGCACAUUGCGCCCUUUGGCAUUCCGAAGGGCAUGCCUGUUCGAGCGUCAUUAUCACCCCUCAAGCCCCGUGCUUGGUGUUGGACGGCUUGGUCGAGGUUCGCCUCGACCCCUCCCAAAGACAAUGACGGCGGCCUGUGGCUCCCCCGGCACACUGAGCUUCUCACCGAGCACGUGUCGGAUCGCGGGCGUCCAGGUCCCGGUCGGCCUCCUUGCGCACAAGGAAAUUUUAUCAAGGUUGACCUCGGAUCAGGUAGGAAUACGCGCUGAACUUAA
rnacentral:misc_RNA from 1 species